AGGAUGGAAACAUUUAGAUGUGCUGCAUUUACACUGCAGAAAAGAUUUCCCAUCCUA
rnacentral:tRNA from 1 species